rnacentral:rRNA from 1 species
GGAGGAUCCAAGCGUUAUCCGGAUUCAUUGGGUUUAAAGGGUGCGUAGGUGGAAUGAUAAGUCAGUGGUGAAAUCUCGGAGCUUAACUCCGAAACUGCCAUUGAUACUGUCAAUCUUGAGUACAUUUGAUGAGGGCGGAAUGUGUCAUGUAGCGGUGAAAUGCUUAGAUAUGACACAGAACACCGAUUGCGAAGGCAGCUCUCAAAACUGUAACUGACACUGAGGCACGAAAGCGUGGGUAUCAAACAGGAUUAGAUACCCUGGUAGUCCACGCUGUAAACUAUGAUUACUCGAUGUUUGCGAUAUACUGUAAGCGUCUAAGCGAAAGCGAUAAGUAAUCCACCUGGGGAGUACGCCGGCAACGGUG